rnacentral:rRNA from 1 species
GAAACGACUGCUAAGACUGGAUAGGAGAUAAGAAGGCAUCUUUUUAUUUUUAAAAGACCUAGCAAUAGGUAUGCUUAGGGAAGAGCUUGCGUCACAUUAGUCAGUUGGUGGGGUAAUGGCCUACCAAGACGAUGAUGUGUAGCCGGGCUGAGAGGUCGAACGGCCACAUUGGGACUGAGACACGGCCCAAACUCCUACGGGAGGCAGCAGUAAGGAAUUUUCGGCAAUGGAGGAAACUCUGACCGAGCAAUGCCGCGUGAACGAUGAAGUAUUUCGGUACGUAAAGUUCUUUUAUUAGGGAAGAAAAGAUGGUGGAAAAACCAUUAUGACGGUACCUAAUGAAUAAGCCCCGGCUAACUAUGUGCCAGCAGCCGCGGUAAUACAUAGGGGGCAAGCGUUAUCCGGAAUUAUUGGGCGUAAAGGGUGCGUAGGCGGUUAAAUAAGUUUAUGGUCUAAGUGCAACGCUCAACGUUGUGAUGCUAUAAAAACUGUUUAGCUAGAGCUGGAUAGAGGCAAGUGGAAUUCCGUGUGUAGUGGUAAAAUGCGUAAAUAUACGGAGGAACACCAGAAGCGAAGGCGGCUUGCUGGGUCUUAACUGACGCUGAGGCACGAAAGCGUGGGGAGCAAACAGGAUUAGAUACCCUGGUAGUCCACGCCCUAAACGAUGAGUACUAAACGUUGGAUAAAACCAGUGUUGAAGUUAACACAUUAAGUACUCCGCCUGAGUAGUACGUACGCAAGUAUGAAACUUAAAGGAAUUGACGGGACUCCGCACAAGCGGUGGAUCAUGUUGUUUAAUUCGAAGGUACCCGAAAAACCUCACCAGGUCUUGACAUGCUUUUGCAAAGCUGUAGAAAUACAGUGGAGGUUAUCAAAAGCACAGGUGGUGCAUGGUUGUCGUCAGCUCGUGUCGUGAGAUGUUGGGUUAAGUCCCGCAACGAGCGCAACCCUUGUUGUUAAUUGCCAUCAUUAAGUUGGGGACUUUAGCAAGACUGCCAAUGAUAAAUUGGAGGAAGGUGGGGACGACGUCAAAUCAUCAUGCCCCUUAUGACCUGGGCUACAAACGUGAUACAAUGGCUGUUACAAAGGGUGGCUAAAGCGUAAGCUUCUGGCGAAUCUCAAAAAAGCAGUCUCAGUUCGGAUUGAAGUCUGCAACUCGACUUCAUGAAGUUGGAAUCGCUAGUAAUCGCGAAUCAGCAUGUCGCGGUGAAUACGUUCUCGGGGUUUGUACACACCGCCCGUCA